CAAACGGCCCUCUUUAGGGCCACAAGCAUACCGGAAACGAAUCUC
rfam:Nippostrongylus brasiliensis genome assembly, scaffold: NBR_scaffold0002523